GAGAGAGGGGCUUCGCGCUCCCGGGGGUCUCGGCCUCCUACUCUUCACCCUGUGUCUAUCUACCUUUGUUGCUUUGGCGGGCCUUGGGGUUCGCCUCACGCCGGCCUCGGGCCUUAUCGCCCGGGCCGGCGAGCGCCCGCCAGAGGCCCAUCAAACCCUGUUUAUCAGUGACGUCCGAGGCAAAACACAAAUAGUAAAAACUUUCAACAACGGAUCUCUUGGUUCU
rnacentral:misc_RNA from 1 species